UGGCACUAGGAUCCAGAUCGGCUUAAGGCCGCCGGGACCCGUAGCAAGCCGACUAUACUCUCUGUGUACCUGAUAAAUCCCAUACAUGAUACAAAGAUACUCACCAAUCCUGUAAAACUCUGUAGGCUUAACUACUGCUACUCAGAUAUAUCAAUCUGAAAUGGCCCUCAGGGCCUAUACCAGGGACUACUAUCUGCUGUGGAUCAAGGGAUUUAAACCCUUUUACGCUGUAACACAAUCCACUGGUAUCACAUCAAAGCCAUACAUUAAGCCUAACUCACACAUUUCUCAUCAAGAAACGUAAUACAGGAUUCAUGUACAAGGGAUUAAUCAUACAUCACACUAUAGCAAUGAUACUAGGAAAAGCACAAGUCUAUCCAGUAUACGACAGUACAUAUUAUACACAUUACAUUACCACUAAUCUUUGAGUUACAUCAUGUCCACUACUUUAUUACAACCAUACAUUCAUGCAUAUCUUCCAUCUGUACUCUUGCUGACUUUAACUUCCCAUAGCUAUCGCAGAACCUGCAAAACUGGGGUUAAGGGAGUGGGAUGAGCUACUACAGCCCAGUGAGGAGGAACAAUAAAAACAGUUCAUUCAUUACAUGCUCUCAUGAAAUGCAUCACAUCACAAACAUAUCAUCUCAAGGAUGAACUUGUCACCAAUAGCCCUCAACUACAUGUGAUAAUCUGACCAACUGUGCCAGGGAGACGAUGUCAUCACCUGGUCUACUCUUAUCUCUGCUCUGAUAUCAUAACAUGACCAACUGUGCCAGGGAGACGAUGUCAUCACCUGGUCUACUCUUAUCUCUGCUUUGACAGCCCAGCUGUCUCACUCAUAGUACCAGGAGCGACCUGGACUAUCCAGGGGCGACCUGGUAUGGCUAUCUCAUGCCAUAAAUCUGUAUCUGCUCUCUGUCAAGGGCUAAGGAUCAUCCAACAUUCAUCCACAUAACCAACAACGUAUAUGCAAUGUAUCAUCGUCGUGAAGUCUAAUGCAAUACAACCUAAUACAUAACAUGGCAGUUUAUGAUGCAUGGAUCAUGCUAGAAUCGUGUCAUUUCUCAAGUAAAAUAUGAAGUUUAGUUCCACUCACCUCUAGCCAAUGUUGGCUAACUCUGGGCCAACUCUAACUCUGGAGCCUCCUCGGUUCCUCGGUCCAAUCCUACACAGAUGGACGUAAAUGAGGUACCAAACAUACUCUAACAUAACUAUGAACAUCUCUCCAAAAACCCUCUAAAACAUCACAAAACAUGCAUGCAAAACAAGCAAAGGAAGGCUGGACAGGGCACCUUCGGCAGCACCUUCGGCGGCCGAAUGUCUCCUCCAGAGACGAAAGUUAGGCAUGUUCGGCGGCCUAACUUGGACUUUCGGGGGCCGAACCUGAGUUUAGCCAGAACUCAGUUUCGUGCACAAGGACGCCUGCCAGUCCCUCCAUCACCUGUUCAGACCUCAACACAUGCAUUUAACCCUUCUAAAACAUGCAUAAACACUUCAACAAGCCUAAAGGAGCUUAAAAUAACUUUAAACUCCAACAAACAAGCUCACAAGACACACAUCAAACAUAAAGGAUUCAUAAACCCUAUGAUGCACAUCUCAUGCAAACUCAUGCCUAGCUCCCUUUUCCCUUUACAAAACUCAUAAAAACAUCAUAAGAACCAUGGAUCAACACUUACCUCUUGAAGAACAAAGGCUGAGAUGAUCCAAACUCAAAGAUAUGGAGAAACCAAGCUUCAAAAGCUUCAAACUCCAAAACCUUGUUUCAAGCUCACAACUCUUCAAAACAAGGGUAAAACUCAUUAAAACCGUGAAAGAUUUGAAGAAAAACCAUGAAAAUACUUUAAGGAGAUCAAGACCUCACCUAGGUCAGAAGGAGAGAAGAAACCUCCUCCUUUUUCUGCCACUCGGUGCCCUUAUAGAUGAGCAACCGCCUCAGGUUCGGCUGCCGAAUCGCAUGCAAAACUAUGCAACCUUCGGCGGCCGAACUUAACCUUCGGGGGCCGAAACUAGGGAACUUUAGGCGGCCGAACUUAACCUUAGGGGGCCGAACAUGGCAAAAUGCCUCCUUGGCCAUAUCUCUUCAAAACUCAAUCCUUUUCUACGCUAA
rnacentral:lncRNA from 1 species